CUUGACACUGAACAUUGAGCCUUGAUGUGUAGGAUAGGUGGGAGGCUUGGAAGUGUGGACGCCAGUCUGCAUGGAGCCGACCUUGAAAUACCACCCUUUAAUGUUUGAUGUUCUAACGUUGACCCGUAAUCCGGGUUGCGGACAGUGUCUGGUGGGUAGUUUGACUGGGGCGGUCUCCUCCUAAAGAGUAACGGAGGAGCACGAAGGUUGGCUAAUCCUGGUCGGACAUCAGGAGGUUAGUGCAAUGGCAUAAGC
rnacentral:rRNA from 1 species